GCAGCCGCGGUAAUACGGAGGAUGCGAGCGUUAUCCGGAUUUAUUGGGUUUAAAGGGUGCGUAGGCGGUAUAGCAAGUCAGCGGUUAAAUGUCGGGGCUCAACCUCGGCCUGCCGUUGAAACUGUUGUACUAGAGAGAAUGAGAAGUAUGCGGAAUGCGUGGUGUAGCGGUGAAAUGCUUAGAUAUCACGCAGAACUCCGAUUGCGAAGGCAGCAUGCCGGCAUUUAUCUGACGCUGAGGCACGAAAGCGUGGGGAUCGAACAGGAUUAGAUACCCC
rnacentral:rRNA from 1 species